UAAUGUACAUUUCACGCCCGGCCUCACCCC
rnacentral:piRNA from 1 species